CUUAUCUGUAUGCAAGCACCAAUGGAUCAUUAGAGCAAAAUACCAAGAGCUUGUGAGAUGGAAAAAGAUUACUAUAAGAUGCUGGCAGAAGACUAAGGCCUGUGACAAAGGAUCAGUGGAAAAAUAAAGAAGAAGGAGAGGAUAAAUGAUGAAUCAAAGGCACAAGGACAGGCUGGGCACAGUGGCUCAUGCCUGUAAUCUCAGCACUUUGGGAGCCCAAGGCCCAGUCCCAAGGUGCAAGGCCACUUGUGCUAGCAGCAUGCGUCAGCAAGAUAGCAGAAGCAGGAAGAGAGCUGGCCGGAAGAUAUGUACCCUGUGAAGACCGAGAGAGAGGCCGUCCAGGUACCACGUAGCAGUUACAUCAGACUGAGACACUUCCUGUUUACAGGAGACUAUAAAACCCCUGCCCCAUCCUCAUUUGGUGCUGAUGCCAUUUUCAGCCUCAGCACGCCUGCACCCAGGCGCUCAUUAAAACAGCAUGUUGCUCCCCACUGCCUCGUGUUGUCUGUUGGCGCGCUGUCGGGGUUCGAACCGAUACAAGAACCUUCCACCUACCUGGUGCUUUGGCCUCAUCUAUAAGCUUUUCCACUGUCCUGAAACAAGAUAGAGAAUCUGAGCGGCCAGUCAUCUGCCCUAAGUGCUGCCGCCGAAGACUGAAUGUCCUGGAAAGUUUGCUGUCACAUCUCCAUUAUGACAAAAGCAUUGUGCCGAACAGAUGAAAAAAUGCAUUGUCAACGGAAUCUUUUAUGUUUGUUUGUCUUCCUUUAAGCAACAUUGCCUUACUUGUUAUAAAAGAUAAAUAAAUAUUUGUUCAUUUCAA
rnacentral:lncRNA from 1 species